UGGAGUCCAUGGCUGCGCUGCACACAGUCGCCACCGUGCGCAGGAGACGUGGAGAGGAGUUUACGCACGGUCCGUGGAUGAGAUGGGAAGUCACAGAGCUGAGUGGACAGAAGUGCCGCCCAGAGAAAGUCCCCACAGAGUUCAACUAAGAGGUGAGGAUUGAGAACGCAGAACAUCCUGCGUUAUGUUCCCUGGUCGAGAGAACGAGAAGAUGGACUGAGUCUUCACAAUGGCCUCCAUGCCCUCCAGCUCUAUCCAGGCCCUCUCCAUGCCAGGGUUCGGAUCUGUGCAACACAAAGUCAUCAACAACACAGUUCACUCCGUGAAGGCGACAAGUCACGUUCCACCUGUUGGUGUCUGAAACGACCGCAACAGUGACAGCACCUGUUUUGAAGCUGAACCGUGACGUCACUCCCACUUGGAACGUGGCGAAAACAGCUUCUUAGAAAUCCCCAGAUCUUACCAUAUGCCGUGCAAAUAAUGUGCGUCUCCGGAUAGGACUUCACCAGAAUCCUGUCACACCAAGAUGGCACGUUGACCCGCACCUACAGAAACACAUUUAGGUAGCAGUCUCUGGAGCCCCGUUCAUACCGAUAGGUGGGUGGAAACGCAAUCUUUUCCUCCUCUUCACCAUGAUAAACACAGAACAGAAGAGCAAAGAGAGGUGAGCAAAGGUAAAGCCGGAUCUAAAUUCAAUGUACAAUACUGAUUCUUCGUAAAUGUGAAAUAGCGUUUUUCCAAUACAUGUAGUAUUUAUAGCUCUCAAUAUAAUACAAAGGUCGCUGCUAAACUUGAAACUCACUGAAAUUGAGGAAGGCCUUCCUCUUGUGUCUCUCUCGGGUCAGCUGGUCCGCACACAUGAGCUCCUCGAACUCUCUCUUAGACACAUGUUUCAGGAUGUCCUGCAGUCAGUGACGACCAGAGAGACACUUUAAACAGCAAAGUCUGGGGUGUUUGACUUUAUGAUUUCUGAUUAUUUAUUUUUUUACAAAAGAGCAACAAAUGACAAAGAUCUAGUAGUUUGUUGGUCUGACCU